rnacentral:rRNA from 1 species
GACGAACGCUGGCGGCGUGCCUAAUACAUGCAAGUCGUACGCUUCUUUUUCCACCGGAGCUUGCUCCACCGGAAAAAGAAGAGUGGCGAACGGGUGAGUAACACGUGGGUAACCUACCCAUCAGAAGGGGAUAACACUUGGAAACAGGUGCUAAUACCGUAUAACAAUCGAAACCGCAUGGUUUUGAUUUGAAAGGCGCUUUCGGGUGUCGCUGAUGGAUGGACCCGCGGUGCAUUAGCUAGUUGGUGAGGUAACGGCUCACCAAGGCUACGAUGCAUAGCCGACCUGAGAGGGUGAUCGGCCACAUUGGGACUGAGACACGGCCCAAACUCCUACGGGAGGCAGCAGUAGGGAAUCUUCGGCAAUGGACGAAAGUCUGACCGAGCAACGCCGCGUGAGUGAAGAAGGUUUUCGGAUCGUAAAACUCUGUUGUUAGAGAAGAACAAGGAUGAGAGUAACUGUUCAUCCCUUGACGGUAUCUAACCAGAAAGCCACGGCUAACUACGUGCCAGCAGCCGCGGUAAUACGUAGGUGGCAAGCGUUGUCCGGAUUUAUUGGGCGUAAAGCGAGCGCAGGCGGUUUCUUAAGUCUGAUGUGAAAGCCCCCGGCUCAACCGGGGAGGGUCAUUGGAAACUGGGAGACUUGAGUGCAGAAGAGGAGAGUGGAAUUCCAUGUGUAGCGGUGAAAUGCGUAGAUAUAUGGAGGAACACCAGUGGCGAAGGCGGCUCUCUGGUCUGUAACUGACGCUGAGGCUCGAAAGCGUGGGGAGCAAACAGGAUUAGAUACCCUGGUAGUCCACGCCGUAAACGAUGAGUGCUAAGUGUUGGAGGGUUUCCGCCCUUCAGUGCUGCAGCUAACGCAUUAAGCACUCCGCCUGGGGAGUACGACCGCAAGGUUGAAACUCAAAGGAAUUGACGGGGGCCCGCACAAGCGGUGGAGCAUGUGGUUUAAUUCGAAGCAACGCGAAGAACCUUACCAGGUCUUGACAUCCUUUGACCACUCUAGAGAUAGAGCUUCCCCUUCGGGGGCAAAGUGACAGGUGGUGCAUGGUUGUCGUCAGCUCGUGUCGUGAGAUGUUGGGUUAAGUCCCGCAACGAGCGCAACCCUUAUUGUUAGUUGCCAUCAUUCGGUUGGGCACUCUAGCAAGACUGCCGGUGACAAACCGGAGGAAGGUGGGGAUGACGUCAAAUCAUCAUGCCCCUUAUGACCUGGGCUACACACGUGCUACAAUGGGAAGUACAACGAGUCGCGAAGUCGCGAGGCUAAGCUAAUCUCUUAAAGCUUCUCUCAGUUCGGAUUGUAGGCUGCAACUCGCCUACAUGAAGCCGGAAUCGCUAGUAAUCGCGGAUCAGCACGCCGCGGUGAAUACGUUCCCGGGCCUUGUACACACCGCCCGUCACACCACGAGAGUUUGUAACACCCGAAGUCGGUGAGGUAACCUUUUGGAGCCAGCCGCCUAAGGUGGGAUAGAUGAUUGGGGUG